rnacentral:rRNA from 1 species
GAUCCUGGCUCAGAUUGAACGCUGGCGGCAGGCUUAACACAUGCAAGUCGAGCGGAGAGAGGUAGCUUGCUACUGAUCUUAGCGGCGGACGGGUGAGUAAUACUUAGGAAUCUGGCUAUUAGUGGGGGACAACAUUUCGAAAGGGAUGCUAAUACCGCAUACGUCCUACGGGAGAAAGCAGGGGAUCUUCGGACCUUGCGCUAAUAGAUGAGCCUAAGUCGGAUUAGCUAGUUGGUGGGG